rnacentral:rRNA from 1 species
CCUGCCCAGAAGCGGGGGAUAACACCUGGAAACAGAUGCUAAUACCGCAUAACAACUUGGACCGCAUGGUCCGAGCUUGAAAGAUGGCUUCGGCUAUCACUUUUGGAUGGUCCCGCGGCGUAUUAGCUAGAUGGUGGGGUAACGGCUCACCAUGGCAAUGAUACGUAGCCGACCUGAGAGGGUAAUCGGCCACAUUGGGACUGAGACACGGCCCAAACUCCUACGGGAGGCAGCAGUAGGGAAUCUUCCACAAUGGACGAAAGUCUGAUGGAGCAACGCCGCGUGAGUGAAGAAGGGUUUCGGCUCGUAAAACUCUGUUGUUAAAGAAGAACAUAUCUGAGAGUAACUGUUCAGGUAUUGACGGUAUUUAACCAGAAAGCCACGGCUAACUACGUGCCAGCAGCCGCGGGUAAUACGUAGGUGGCAAGCGUUGUCCGGAUUUAUUGGGCGUAAAGCGAGCGCAGGCGGUUUUUUAAGUCUGAUGUGGAAAGCCUUCGGCUCAACCGAAGAAGUGCAUCGGGAAACUGGGAAAACUUGAGUUGCAGAAGAAGGACAGUGGAACUCCCAUGUGUAAGCGGUGAAAAUGCGUAGAUAUUAUGGAAAGAACCACCAAGUGGGCGAAAGGCGGCUGUCUGGUCCUGUUAACUGACGCCUG